rnacentral:rRNA from 1 species
CCUACGGGAGGCAGCAGUGAGGAAUAUUGGUCAAUGGACGCAAGUCUGAACCAGCCAUGCCGCGUGCAGGAAGACGGCUCUAUGAGUUGUAAACUGCUUUUGUACGAGGGUAAACUCAGACAUGCGUAUCUGUCUGAAAGUAUCUUACGAAUAAGGAUCGGCUAACUCCGUGCCAGCAGCCGCGGUAAUACGGAGGAUUCAAGCGUUAUCCGGAUUUAUUGGGUUUAAAGGGUGCGUAGACGGGGGGUUAAGUUAGAGGUGAAAGCCCGAGGCUCAACUGUGGAAUUGCCUUUGAUACUGUUAGGCUAGAGAGCAGUUGCGGUAGGCGGAAUGCAUGGUGUAGCGGUGAAAUGCUUAGAGAUCAUACAGAACACCGAUUGCGAAGGCAGCUUACCAAGCUACUUCUGACGUUGAGGCACGAAAGCGUGGGGAGCAAACAGGAUUAGAUACCCCUGUAGUC